AGAGCAUGGAGACUUCAACCCGUUUGAUGGACCUGAGGGGCUUCUUGCUCAUGCUUAUCUACCUGGAAACGACACUGGUGUAGAUACACACUUUGAUGAGGAUGAAACAUGGACCAAAGACUUUCACGGUGAAAACCCAGACCACGGAGUCAAGCCUAAACCAGAAGCUCCAACCAAGUGUGACCCUGAACUGAGUUUCGAUGCCAUCACUGAACUCUGUGGAGAGACAAUCAUUUUCAAAGACAGGUUUUACUGGUGACUACAUCCAAAGAUGCCUGAGCCUGAACAAACUCUCAUUAAAAAAUACCUGGCCUGAAUUACCAAACAAAGUAGAUGCUGCCUACGAGAACCAAAGCAUGAAUGCUUGAAUAAAAAUAAUUGUUAUUUCUAUUUUUUAACAGGAUAUUUGUACUUCUAUCAUGAGCACAUGCAGUUUUAGUACAGUUAUGGCUCUCUGGAAGUCAUGCGCAUCAUGAGGGCCAACUCCAUACUCAACUGUUGAGCGCUUAUAAUGUGGCUGUGCCAUAAACUCAAUAAUUAUCAACUGCUGUGAAAAUUAGCAUUCAUUUUUAUAUAUUCUUUAUACUACUGAGCUGGCUCCAUUCAUUUAAAAUGUAUUUAUAGACCAUGAUUCAGGGAUUAU